AAGGUUGUUUUUCUGGCUUCUAAGUGUCUGGAGGAAAGAAAAAAGAAGUAAGCAUACUAGCCUUACAGGAAAAAUCAAAUGUUUUCUUCUUCUAAAUUUCCAACUAUAUGUAAAAAUUAAUGGAGAGAUGAUAUUUAGGAAAAAUAAACACAAUAGAGGAGCCUGAGAACAUGGAUGAAGUACUUAGGCUAUGGAGGACCGAAGACACUAGUUCAGAGUUCUCAUUGUAUGAUUUCUCUCAGAUUGCUGAUGCUACAGACAACUUCUCACCCAAAAGUAAACUAGGAGAGGGUGGAUUUGGCCCAGUUUACAAGGUAUUUCCUUGCAAUUACUACGGUCAGGCACCAAUAUCAUGAAAUUUAGAUGGCUACAUAUAAACAUGGAGCGAUGAACUUUGCAGGGAGUAUUUCCUGAUGGACAAGAGCUAGCAAUAAAAAGACUGUCUGCUCGGUCACAGCAAGGUCUAAUAGAGUUCAAGAAUGAGAUCCAGGUUAUAACAAAACUUCAACACAGAAACCUUGUUAGGCUGCUUGGCUGUUGCAUCCAUGGAGAAGAGAAGAUGCUGGUCUACGAAUACCUGACCAACAAAAGCUUGGACCACUUCAUUUUUGGCAUGAGCUUACUCUAAAAUGCUUAUUCCAUAAUUGCAUUUGUUCUGGUAUGCAGAACUAACACUUGGUCUUCUGUCACAUUGCUUGUAGAUCCAAUCAGACGAGCAUCACUUAAAUGGAAGAUGCGAAUUAAAAUAGUUGAAGGUAUAUCCCAAGGGCUUCUGUACCUUCACAAUCACUCACGACUACGCAUAAUCCAUAGGGACUUGAAAGCAAGCAAUAUUCUGUUAGAUUCUGAACUAAACCCUAAGAUUUCUGAUUUUGGAAUGGCAAGGAUAUUUCCGUCAGAUGCCACUCAAGCAACAGCAAGCAGACUUGUGGGCACAUUGUAAGGGCAUUAAAGUAGUUUUGUUACUAAUGUUUCUAUGCGUUUGCUUUCUGACUUCUCACAUGCCACCUUGUUCUAGUGGAUACAUGGCCCCUGAAUAUGCAUCUGAUGGCCUUCUCUCAAUCAAAUCAGAUGUUUUCAGUUUUGGGGUCCUGCUUCUUGAGAUUAUAAGUGGAAAGAGGAGUUCGGGUUUUCAGUACAAUGGAGAAUUCUACAACCUCCUUGAGUAUGUAAGCAGCUAAGAACUAACAAUCUGCAAAAUCAGUGGAACAUUUAUUGUUUUCCCUUAUAAUAAGAUUGUAUACAUAUAAACAUAUCAGUUACCAUUAAUACUGUGGUUAUAUUGCAUCCUACAUUCUUUCUUUCCAUAAAGUAUAGGGCAUCAAGUAUAGUGCAGUUUCCUCUAUCUCCCUGUUGUAUUCCCUUACAUUUGUAGCUAGAUCUAACAGCAUAAAGAUAUACCAUAAUACGCUGCUAUGCAUGUAAAAAUCUUUUUUUUCUAUUCAGGCCUGGCAACUGUGGAAAGGUAGGAGAUGGAGUGAGUUCAUUGAUAAAUCAUUUGGUGAUGAAUAUGAAAUGGAAGAGCUGGUGAAAUAUCUUGCUGUGGCAUUGAUGUGUGUUCAAGAAAAAGCAAUGGAUCGUCCCACAAUGCGUGAUGUUGUUGCACUUCUUAGCAGCGAUGGCAUCACAAUGCCAGAACCAAAGCAACCAGCUUACUCCUAUGCUAAAUUAGAUGAGUCGGUAAAUGUCACUGUAUUGAGUAGCAGAAACGAUGUAACCAUCACUACUAUAAAUGGCAGAUAGUAGAAUGUGGGUACUGUUCAUGAAGUGUGAACUACAGGUCUUGGCCAUCCUCCUUGUGUUAAUUAACUGUAAAGGCAUUGUGUUCCGCAGUUUCUCACCAGUUAACCUGUUAGGCUGAUUUGACUAGUGGUUUUAUGUGUCUAACAAGAUUUUUCUUAUUAUACCGUACAAACAGCGUGAGACUGAAUUAAUUUAUAUUUCAGUUCCAAACUGCCUACCGCUAGCACAUAAGCCACGUUCUGUUGUUACAAUGAAUCACAAUUCCACACAAUAGAUAGCAUUUGUUAGGAUAUAUCAUAAAUCUGUGCAUGGUCUUUUUCAGUCUUUCUUUCUUUCUUUCUUUUUUUCAGUGUCAGACAUAUUUUAAGCAUGAGCAAUUUUAGAAGGCGUAAUCAAGAAGUAUGAAAGCACCUGGAAUGUAGUCAAGUCCAAGUUUUCAAAAAAAAAUGUAGUCAAGUCCAAUGCUCACGAUGAAAUGGAGUCUGCUGUUCACUAGGGAAUGUAGACAGGUCCACUAGUCUACCUCUGGCUUCCAACGCACGAGACAGCUCUCUGGACCAGUCUUCUGUGGAAAAUAUGGGCAUGUCACCAUCUAUCAAUAUAUAUAGCAAAGAAUGAGUCUUAGCAAUCAUUUUCCACUAACAGAUUCAAUGGAACCUACGCUUGACUUUUGAAUUCCUUUACCUCUUGGUAGAUGAAGCCAAAAUGAUGCUUGGCACUCAUGUGUGACUUCUUGACGAGCAAUCCUGCAAUAUGGAUAAGACCAAAGGCCAUGGUACUUCAGUUUCACUUACCAAUCAAUAUGCUACCGUUAUCUCUCCUAUUCCUCUUCCUCUCCUGCCCAGCACCAUUGGCUGGCCAAACCUUCUGCAGUAAUCAUAAUGGUGCCAGGUACAUACCAUACAACACCUACAAUAUCCAAACUGAUCUCCCAUGCUGAAACACUGAUUGCCCGCACUGUAGAGAUGCACUUUUAGUUGUCUUCUCAAACUACAACUCAUUGGACUUAUGCAUUGAUGUACAGACAACACAGCUAAUAUCUUGGUUGGAGUUGGAGUGUUCCUAAUGGUAAUAUUUAUUUCUUGCUUGGUUUUUCAUCUAUGGAUCAAAACACAGCAACAGAGAGGUAUGAAUUAACAUAACAGCAGAUCAACAGCAUAAACCGUUAUUGUUCUCUUACAUGUAUCGACAGCAUAAAGUUUCAAUAUUGUUUUUCAGAACAAGCAAUAUUAAAAUUACGACAACUGUCUUUGGCAAUACAAAGUGUGACAAAUUUAUGGAGGAUGGAAGGCAGCAACAACUUGGAAUUUUCAAAGUAUGAUUACUCUUACAUAAAAGAAGCUACAAAUAACUUUUCGAUUGAUAACAAAUUGGGGCAAGGUGGCUUUGGCCCUGUGUACAAGGUAUUAUGUCCUUAUAUUGCAAAUGGACCCCUAAAAUGAAUUAACAUUACAUUGUUGAUACAAAUAUAAUGCCUUUUCUAUAUUGUUGUAGAGAUAUCUUCUGCGAUGGUGCAUAAGUUAUUUUUUGUGACUAAACAAAAUGAAUAUCAAUUUCCAGUAGAAUAAGUUAUGAAGUUAUGAAAAAUAACUUGUUUUCCUUUCAAUCAAUCCCAGGGCCGAUUGAGCAGUGGAAUUAAAAUAGCAGUCAAGAGGCUAGAAACAUGUUCUUUACAAGGUUUACUGGAAUUCCAAAAUGAAAUUCAGCUUAUAUCAAAGCUUCAACACAAAAAUCUCGUUAAGCUGCUGGGUUACUGCACUAAAGGAGAUCAAGAAAAGAUGCUUGUAUAUGAAUACAUGGAAAAUAAAAGUCUAGACUGCUUCAUAUUUGGCAAGACUCAUCGCUUCUACAUGUGUAAUGUUGUUUAUAGUAUGUCAACAGCUUUGAUGAAUUAUACAUAUUUUGCAGAAAAUGUGAAGGGAGCACAACUAAACUGGUCAAAACGUCUGCACAUAAUUGAUGGGAUAGCUCAUGGGCUUCUUUACCUUCACAACUAUUCACGAAUAUGUGUUGUUCAUAGGGAUUUGAAAGCAAGUAAUAUUCUCUUGGACAGUGAAAUGAAUCCAAGAAUAUCUGAUUUUGGGAUGGCUAGAAUAUUCUGCUCAAAUGUGAAAGAAUCAAAUACAACCAGAAUAGUGGGCACACGGUAAGAACAUAUGGAUCUAUGCAUUUUAAGUACACGAAAUAUUCAUAGAGGCACUUCUUUUGGAAAAAAUGGACAUUGUAUGAUAGCAUAUCAUCAACUUAAUUUAUAAAUUCCUCCCUUUUUGCAUUACUGACACAAAUUUAAAUUCUGACACUCAGUGGCUACAUACCUCCUGAGUACGCUUUUCAUGGGAUUUGCUCUAUCAAAUCGGAUGUUUUUAGCUUUGGCGUAUUGACGUUGGAAAUAAUAAGUUCAAAGAGGACAGCGCAAUUCUAUGAAUACAAUGGAAAGCUAUAUAAUCUCAUCUCAUAUGUGAGUGUAAUUGAUCUCAACACCAUCCAGAACUUUUACCUAUGCAGACCCAUUUGCCUCAUUUUACUUGUUUCACAAAACACGCUACUUUGGCAGGCUUGGCAACUUUGGAGUGAUGAAAAAUUGGGUGAGUUGAUUUAUUCUCCUUCAGGCAAUGGACACCAUGAGAUAGAAAGAUGCAUUCAUGUGGCACUUUUAUGCGUCCAAGAAAGUGCAGAGCAUCGACCUGAUAUGGAGCGAGUUAUCACAAUGCUAAACACUAAGGAUGUGAACUUACCCAAUCCUGCGCAACCAGCUUACUUCCA
rnacentral:lncRNA from 1 species